UUAGAGUUUGAUCCUGGCUCAGGAUGAACGCUGGCGGCGUGCCUAAUACAUGCAAGUCGAGCGAAUGGAUUAAGAGCUUGCUCUUAUGAAGUUAGCGGCGGACGGGUGAGUAACACGUGGGUAACCUGCCCAUAAGACUGGGAUAACUCCGGGAAACCGGGGCUAAUACCGGAUAAUAUUUUGAACUGCAUGGUUCGAAAUUGAAAGGCGGCUUCGGCUGUCACUUAUGGAUGGACCCGCGUCGCAUUAGCUAGUUGGUGAGGUAACGGCUCACCAAGGCAACGAUGCGUAGCCGACCUGAGAGGGUGAUCGGCCACACUGGGACUGAGACACGGCCCAGACUCCUACGGGAGGCAGCAGUAGGGAAUCUUCCGCAAUGGACGAAAGUCUGACGGAGCAACGCCGCGUGAGUGAUGAAGGCUUUCGGGUCGUAAAACUCUGUUGUUAGGGAAGAACAAGUGCUAGUUGAAUAAGCUGGCACCUUGACGGUACCUAACCAGAAAGCCACGGCUAACUACGUGCCAGCAGCCGCGGUAAUACGUAGGUGGCAAGCGUUAUCCGGAAUUAUUGGGCGUAAAGCGCGCGCAGGUGGUUUCUUAAGUCUGAUGUGAAAGCCCACGGCUCAACCGUGGAGGGUCAUUGGAAACUGGGAGACUUGAGUGCAGAAGAGGAAAGUGGAAUUCCAUGUGUAGCGGUGAAAUGCGUAGAGAUAUGGAGGAACACCAGUGGCGAAAGCGACUUUCUGGUCUGUAACUGACACUGAGGCGCGAAAGCGUGGGGAGCAAACAGGAUUAGAUACCCUGGUAGUCCACGCCGUAAACGAUGAGUGCUAAGUGUUAGAGGGUUUCCGCCCUUUAGUGCUGAAGUUAACGCAUUAAGCACUCCGCCUGGGGAGUACGGCCGCAAGGCUGAAACUCAAAGGAAUUGACGGGGGCCCGCACAAGCGGUGGUGCAUGUGGUUUAAUUCGAAGCAACGCGAAGAACCUUACCAGGUCUUGACAUCCUCUGAAAACCCUAGAGAUAGGGCUUCUCCUUCGGGAGCAGAGUGACAGGUGGUGCAUGGUUGUCGUCAGCUCGUGUCGUGAGAUGUUGGGUUAAGUCCCGCAACGAGCGCAACCCUGAUCUUAGUUGCCAUCAUUAAGUUGGGCACUCUAAGGUGACUGCCGGUGACAAACCGGAGGAAGGUGGGGAUGACGUCAAAUCAUCAUGCCCCUUAUGACCUGGGCUACACACGUGCUACAAUGGACGGUACAAAGAGCUGCAAGACCGCGAGGUGGAGCUAAUCUCAUAAAACCGUUCUCAGUUCGGAUUGUAGGCUGCAACUCGCCUACAUGAAGCUGGAAUCGCUAGUAAUCGCGGAUCAGCAUGCCGCGGUGGAUACGUUCCCGGGCCUUGUACACACCGCCCGUCACACCACGAGAGUUUGUAACACCCGAAGUCGGUGGGGUAACCUUUUUGGAGCCAGCCGCCUAAGGUGGGACAGAUGAUUGGGGUGAAGUCGUAACAAGGUAACCGUA
rnacentral:rRNA from 1 species